AGUACGAGAUGCUACUGCAUCGAAGCAGUCUAUGUCAUACUUCCAAGAAAAGCUUGCAAUGUCAUAAACAAAUAAUGCCUGUACCAUAACCGACACAGGUGGGUAGGUAGAGUAUACUAAGGGGCGCGAGAUAACUCUCUCUAAGGAACUCGGCAAAAUGACUCCGUAACUUCGGGAGAAGGAGUGCCUUAUUUUUAUAAGGUUGCAAUAACAAGAUCCAAGCAACUGUUUACCAAAAACACAGGUCUCCGCUAAGUCGUAAGACGAUGUAUGGGGGCUGACGCCUGCCCAGUGCCAGAAGGUUAAAGAAGUUGGUUAGCAUUAGCGAAGCUGAUAACUGAAGCCCUGGUGAACGGCGGCCGUAACGAUAACGGUCCUAAGGUAGCGAAAUUCCUUGUCGGGUAAGUUCCGACCCGCACGAAAGGCGUAAUGAUUUGGAUACUGUCUCGGAGAGGGGCUCGGUGAAAUAGACUUGUCUGUGAAGAUGCGGACUACCUGCACCUGGACAGAAAGACCCUAUGAAGCUUUACUGUAACUUGAGAUUGAAAUUGGACUUUAUCUGCGCAGUAUAGGUGGGAGACGUUGAAAAUAUUCUUGCGGGAAUAUUGGAGUCAUCAGUGAGAUACCACUCUUAUAAUGUUAGAUUUCUAACUUUGUAUCAUUAUCUGGUCAAAGAACAGUUUCAGGCGGGCAGUUUGACUGGGGCGGUCGCCUCCCAAACGGUAACGGAGGCGCACAAAGGUUUCCUCUGAACGUGUAGAAAUCGUAUCUAGAGUGUAAAGGCAUAAGGAAGCUUGACUGUGAGACCUACAAGUCGAGCAGGGACGAAAGUCGGUCUUAGUGAUCUGACGGUGCUGAGUGGAAAGGCCGUCACUCAACGGAUAAAAGUUACUCUAAGGAUAACAGGCUGAUCUCCCCCAAGAGUUCACAUCGACGGGGAGGUUUGGCACCUCGAUGUCGGCUCAUCGCAUCCUGGGGCGGUAGUACGUCCCAAGGGUUGGGCUGUUCGCCCAUGAAAGCGGUACGCGAGCUGGGUUCAGAACGUCGUGAGACAGUUCGGUCCAUAUCCGGUGUAGGCGUUAGAAUAUUGAGAGGAGCCUUCUUUAGUACGAGAGGACCGAGAAGGACAUACCUCUGGUGUACCAGUUAUCGUGCCAACGGUAAACGCUGGGUAGCCAUGUAUGGAGAGGAUAACCGCUGAAAGCAUCUAAGUGGGAAGCCCACCUCAAGAUAAG
rnacentral:rRNA from 1 species